UAGGUAAAAGCCAAAAUAGAGGCUCCUAACUGUUAAUUAGGUUAUUAUAAAUAAUUAUUUAUCUAU
rnacentral:tRNA from 1 species